GUGCCUAAUACAUGCAAGUCGAGCGAAUGACAAGGAGCUUGCUCCUUGAUUAGCGGCGGACGGGUGAGUAACACGUGGGUAACCUACCCUAUAGACUGGGAUAACUUCGGGAAACCGGAGCUAAUACCGGAUAAUACCUUGAAACACAUGUUUUGAAGUUGAAAGAUGGUUUCGGCUAUCACUAUAGGAUGGACCCGCGGCGCAUUAGCUAGUUGGUGGGGGUAAUGGCUCACCAAGGCAACGAUGCGUAGCCGACCUGAGAGGGUGAUCGGCCACACUGGGACUGAGACACGGCCCAGACUCCUACGGGAGGCAGCAGUAGGGAAUCUUCCACAAUGGACGAAAGUCUGAUGGAGCAACGCCGCCGUGAGUGAAGAAGGAUUUCGGUUCGUAAAACUCUGUUGCAAGGGAAGAACAAGUAGCGUAGUAACUGGCGCUACCUUGACGGUACCUUGUUAGAAAGCCACGGCUAACUACGUGCCAGCCGCGGC
rnacentral:rRNA from 1 species